AGUAAAAUAAAAUAAACCAAAUAACCAAAUUGAGCCAAGGCCCAAGUGUAAAGAGGAUGAGGUAUUUAACAGAAAUAGGGCUGUAGGUUUCUGACAGGAUGGGCUUAAGCCCAAUGUGAGUGGGGGCGCAAAAUGGAAACCAAGGGGGGUGCAGAAAAGAUUUGUUGUUAUUAUUUUUAAGAAAAUGAAGGGGCUUAAGCCCAAAGAGGGUGGGAGUGUGACUUAGUGGAAACAAGGGUACAUAAGAGAAAUCUAUUUUUUUUGUUCUUUGGUUUGACCCAACAGUCCAGGGUUUAGCUCUUCCCAUUCAGAAAUUUUAGGGGUCUGCCCCCUUCACCCCAUUCUUGUUCAACUCACACGAGACCUAGGGUCUCUUCUUUUCUCUGAGCACAAGCCACCCUAUCCCCCACAAUCACCAACCCAGCCGCCGUGACAGCCACGAGCCACCCUUGCUCCGUCCAGGGCGUCGUCGGCGACUAUCGUCGGCUGCAAGCCACUCGCUCACUCGCACUAGCCUAGGGUUGCGCAACCGCAUCAACACUUCUUCGAAUGCAAACUCCGCGCCACCAGCAUCACGGUCUCGUCGUCGCCGGCGACGACACCGAUUUUGUUUCCGGAAUCUGAACUUUCCAAUUUCCCUGCUUUUCUUCUAAAUCCUCUGUUUCUUUGCUCUGAUUGUGGUUCGUGUUCUGCGAGUGAUUUCUUAUGACCCAAAAAUGCUAAAGAUGAUGGACGAAUUGAAACGAUGCUUUAAUGGUCUGAAGUUGACAAGGAUGAUGAAACCGCUAUGUUUUACUGUUGUGUUUUUGGUCUUGCAGGAAAGUGAUUUUUGGGAUUUUAGUGGCAUCGGUUAGAGUCUGGUGUUAAUGAUGGGUUUCUACGUAAUUGAUCCACUGGUUUUCUCAUUUUGCUUGACUGCAUAUGGUUUUUGGAAUCAAUGAGGAGGGUAGUAACAAGGAAAAUGUCCAUGGGUUGGAGGUUCGAAAAUGAGAAGGGAGUGGUUUGGAUGAGGUCGUGAAUGAAGACAUGGUGGUGUCUGAUGGCUAGGUGAGUUUCUUGUUUACUGAUUAAAUCCUAUUGGUGAUUUGGAUUGAGGAAAACAGUUUGAUGAAGAAAGUGGUGUAAAGGGCAAAGGCAGUUUGAUUAUGAAGUGUGUUUUAUUGUUGUUCCAGUGAGAGUCGGAUUGACUUGGGGAAACAGGACAAUGCUUACUCUCUGUAUAUGCUUUCUAUGUUUGUUUCAAGGUGAAGAAUGCCUUAGGAUGGAAAGCGGCUGUGGAAGAUAUUGCUUCCCAGACUGAAGGAACCCUUGGUUUUCUAGAAAGCAACUUCUGUUUCGGUUUUCUAUUUGCUGUUUUUCAUUUUUUAGAGUAUUUUUCUGGGUGCAAGGAAAGGGAAUAUUGAAGUCUUGAUGUUGGGGGUAUACAUGCCUAUGUUCUAUUGUGAGUGAUGCUGAUUGUAUUUGCAGACAUUGAAAAUGCAGUUUGAUAAAAAGAUGAAACCACAACCAAGACAACCACGACUAUACAUAAUAAUCAAACGUCAUUCGUUUAUCUCCAAGUAUGCAUAAGGAAAGCAUACAUGUAAGCAAGUCCAAGGAGCUUAGGUAUAAGCGUAUGAGGACUUACCUCCGCAGCUUCAAGACUCCUCUGCAGCUUCAAGACUCCUUUGCAACUUCAAAACUUGUAGCCUUAAGACUCCUCCGCAGCUUUCAGACCUUUCCUUUUGAUUCUACUUUCUUUGGUUCUCUUAGACAAAGGGUAAUGAUAGGUGAUGGGGGUGGGUCUCUGAUGUUCUCUGGUAGUGAAGUCGAUAAUGGAGUGUUGGAUAAGAAUAAUGGUACCAAGUAUUCUCCCCCUGCUGGUUAAGGUCUUUUUUUUUUUUUAUUUACUGUGAUGAAGCCCCAUUCAAAAACCAAACCCAAGCCCAUUCCCCUGCACUGCGUCCUGGGAACUCAGGCAUAUCUUUUGACUUAGGGAUUUUUUCUUUGUUUUUUUUCUUCGUUGUGUUUAAAUUUGAUCAGAUGGUAAAAGCCAUUGAGAUAUCUUCUGACUCUUUUGAUGUAUGGCACAACUUUGCAUAGGGAUUUUUAGCAAGAGUCACACAAUUGUUUUCUUAUGGGCAUGGUAUAAGCCAUUUCGAGCUUUCCUCUGUAACGUUGUCUGAUGCAGUGUUGAUCUGUGUUGCAGGAAAGACAAAAAGGCAAGAAAGAGCAGUUGACUUUGUGA